UUGGAGGGCAAGUCUGGUGCCAGCAGCCGCGGUAAUUCCAGCUCCAAUAGCGUAUAUUAAAGUUGUUGCAGUUAAAAAGCUCGUAGUUGAAUUUCGGGAUCAAUAUUUCGGUCAUGCCGUUGGUAUGCACUGUUAUCAUUGAUUUCUCACCUUCUAAAGAACCGUAAUGCCAUUAAUUUGGUGUUACGGGGAAUUAGGACUGUUACCUUGAAAAAAUUAGAGUGUUUAAAGCAGGCUCACGCUUGAAUACAUUAGCAUGGAAUAAUGAAAUAGGACAUCCGAUUCUAUUUUGUUGGUUUCUAGGAUCGAUGUAAUGAUUAAUAGGGAUAGUUGGGGGCAUUAGUAUUCAAUUGUCAGAGGUGAAAUUCUUGGAUUUAUUGAAGACUAACUACUGCGAAAGCAUUUGCCAAGGAUGUUUUCAUUAAUCAGGAACGAAAGUUAGGGGAUCGAAGACGAUCAGAUACCGUCGUAGUCUUAACCAUAAACUAUGCCGACUAGGGAUCGGACGGUGUUAUUUUUUGACCCGUUCGGCACCUUACGGGAAAC
rnacentral:rRNA from 1 species